rnacentral:tRNA from 1 species
GGAGGGAUACCCGAGAGGCCAAAGGGGGCGGACUGUAAAUCCGCUGGCGACGCCUACGGUGGUUCGAAUCCACCUCCCUCCACCA